rnacentral:rRNA from 1 species
CGUAGGUGCAAGCGUUGUCCGGAUUUAUUGGGCGUAAAGGGCUCGUAGGCGGUUCAGCAAGUCGGGUGUGAAACCUCCAGGCUCAACCUGGAGUCGCCACCCGAAACUGCUGUGACUAGAGUCCGGUAGAGGAGUAUGGAAUUCCUGGUGUAGCGGUGGAAUGCGCAGAUAUCAGGAGGAACACCAGUAGCGAAGGCGAUACUCUGGGCCGGCACUGACGCUGAGGAGCGAAAGCAUGGGGAGCAAACAGGAUUA